UAUAAGACUGGGAUAACUUCGGGAAACCGGAGCUAAUGCCGGAUAACAUAUAGAACCGCAUGGUUCUAUAGUGAAAGAUGGUUUUGCUAUCACUUAUAGAUGGACCCGCGCCGUAUUAGCUAGUUGGUAAGGUAAUGGCUUACCAAGGCGACGAUACGUAGCCGACCUGAGAGGGUGAUCGGCCACACUGGAACUGAGACACGGUCCAGACUCCUACGGGAGGCAGCAGUAGGGAAUCUUCCGCAAUGGGCGAAAGCCUGACGGAGCAACGCCGCGUGAGUGAUGAAGGUUUUCGGAUCGUAAAACUCUGUUAUUAGGGAAGAACAAAUGCGUAAGUAACUGUGCGCAUCUUGACGGUACCUAAUCAGAAAGCCACGGCUAACUACGUGCCAGCAGCCGCGGUAAUACGUAGGUGGCAAGCGUUAUCCGGAAUUAUUGGGCGUAAAGCGCGCGUAGGCGGUUUCUUAAGUCUGAUGUGAAAGCCCACGGCUCAACCGUGGAGGGUCAUUGGAAACUGGGAAACUUGAGUGCAGAAGAGGAAAGUGGAAUUCCAUGUGUAGCGGUGAAAUGCGCAGAGAUAUGGAGGAACACCAGUGGCGAAGGCGACUUUCUGGUCUGUAACUGACGCUGAUGUGCGAAAGCGUGGGGAUCAAACAGGAUUAGAUACCCUGGUAGUCCACGCCGUAAACGAUGAGUGCUAAGUGUUAGGGGGUCUCCGCCCCUUAGUGCUGCAGCUAACGCAUUAAGCACUCCGCCUGGGGAGUACGAC
rnacentral:rRNA from 1 species